AUGCUACAGAGAUCUAAAACAACAGAAGCAAGUCAUACAGAAGAAACAAUAGACCUGAGGCAAACAAUGGGUCUGUCGAUCUCAUACCCACCGGAUGACUACUUGCCAGCAGAUGAUGACAACUCGGACAGGCUAUUCGUCCGGUCCUUAAGCUUACACAACCUCGGCAGCCUUGAGACCCCUGAUUCGCCACCGGAAAUAUCCGAUGCCGUGAGCUCUACGAAGCCUGCAAGAAAAGGGUCCUUAAAUGCCAGGAGAAAAGAGGGUCCUCCAUUACAUGUCGAUACUACGAAACCCAGGGCGAGUCCUAAACCUGACACGGAAUGUUGUACCCAUAAGCACAACCACAGCCUUCCAAAAUAUGGCGCAAAUUACCUGCCACCAAAUUCUCCGGUGGUCGGGAUGGUCAGCCCGCAGCACCAGGCCGCAGCAGUAAGGGUGCAGAAGGUAUACAAGAGCUUCAGAACAAGACGGCAGCUUGCUGACUGCGCUGUUCUUGUCGAACAACGGUGGUAUGUUACAAUUUCAUGUGCUUGUCGUCCAUUGUUGUAUUUGAUACAGUGGCUCUUUGUCACUGGUGUAACGAUGCCUGAAAUUUGCGAUGCCGAAUUCAGGUGGAAGCUGCUCGAUUUCGCACUGCUCAAGCAAAGUUCGGUGUCAUUCUUCGAGGAAGAGAAGCCAGAGACUGCCCUCUCAAGAUGGUCACGGGCCAGAAUAAAGGCUGCCAAGGUAGGCAAAGGUUUGUCCAAGGAUGAAAAGGCCCAGAAGCUCGCACUUCAGCAUUGGCUAGAAGCAAUUGACCCCCGGCAUCGAUACGGUCACAACCUCCACUACUAUUACAAAAGCUGGCUUCACUGCGACAGUCAACAACCUUUCUUCUACUGGUUGGAUGUGGGUGAAGGAAAAGAGAUUAAUCUUGAGGACCACUGCCCAAGAUGGAAGCUGCUGCAGCAAUGCAUCAGGUAUCUUGGCCCUAAAGAGAGGGAGUUCUAUGAGGUAAAAAUUGAGAAUAAGAUUAUGAUGUACAAGCUGAGCUGCAAGAUUGUCGACACGUCCGAGGGGCCCAAGGAUGCAAAAUGGAUCUUUGUGUUGAGCACGACGAAAAUUCUGUACAUAGGCACGAAGAGCAAGGGAACAUUUCAGCACUCCAGCUUCCUUGCCGGUGGAGCCACAUCUGCUGCCGGGAGAUUAGUCGUCGCGAACGGAAUCCUAAAGGCUGUGUGGCCUCAUAGCGGGCACUACCGGCCCACGGAGGCGAACUUCCGGGAGUUCAUGAAGUAUCUCAGGAAGAGGAACGUCGAUCUCACCGAUGUGAAGUUGAGCCCAACAGAAGGCGAGGAGGACGAAUGGCUGAGGAGCUGCCUCUCCCAGAUGGAUCUAACAACGGAGAUCAGCACGCCGAAGAAGCAAGGAGACACCAGGGCCCAACUCCCUCGCGGUGACAAGAAGAAGAUCAAACCGGCCGUGCCGGCCGCGCCACCUUCCACCAGCGGCGAGGCAGGCGCCGGCUCGCCGGGGAUGAAGCGCUCCUCGUCGGGCACCCGGCUGCAGCGCAAGCGGCCGCCGAGGCUGACGGUGAACAAGAACCGUCUGGACAAGGGCGCGGCGGAGCAGGACGCCGGCACGUUCGGCGACCGGCUGGACUUCUGCAAGGCGAACCUCUUCACGGGGCGCAGCGCGGAGGGCGGGGAGGGGGGCGAGGAGCCGGCGGUGCCGCAGGAGAGGAUCAUGCACCGGAUCAACUCCAAGAUGGCGCACAAUUCGUACCAGCUCGGGCAGCAGCUGUCGCUCCGGUGGACGACCGGCGCCGGCCCGCGGAUCGGAUGCGUGCGCGACUACCCGCCGGAGCUGCAGUUCCGGUCGCUGGAGCAGGUCAGCCUGUCCCCGCGCGCCGGCGCCGGCCCGCCCAGGCUCGGGGCGACCCCGCGGCAGAGGAGCCCGUGCACGCCGUCGCCCCUCGGCGCGCCCGGGACUCCCGCGGCGCCGCUGCUUCAGCACGGCGCGGCGUAG
rnacentral:rRNA from 1 species